rnacentral:sRNA from 1 species
AUGGGUGAAAAGGAAUCCCACCAAAAACAGAAAUCAGCACUAGAUAGAAGCUGGUGAACACAUGCAAGAGGAACAAUACUUGCAUGUGUUAGAAAGCACGAAAAUUACAAGAAACAUGAGGAAUCACUUACCAAUACAAAUACAGCAAACUGAUAGGUGUACCAGCAAGCCCUUGACGCUAGAAUUAAUCAGGUACAACCUAAUUGUUGCACAGAUGGGUUGAGAAGGAAGGAAGUCUAGAGAGAAGAGGAAUGG